AAGGGAUAGCGUUGGAAACGACGAAUAAUACCCUAUGACAUAAACUCUUCGCAUGAGGAGCUUAUCAAAGAUUUAUCGGUGUAAGAUGGACUCGCGUCUGAUUAGCUAGUUGGUGAGGUAACGGCCCACCAAGGCGACGAUCAGUAGCCGGCUUGAGAGAGUGUACGGCCACAUUGGACUGAGACACGGCCCCAGACUCCUACGGGAGGCAGCAGCG
rnacentral:rRNA from 1 species